CUCAAAAAUUUCCAGCCGCCACUCUCUUCUCCUUCUCUCCCACGCACCUUCUUCAUCCUUGCGCAGGGCGGCAGCAGCCACCAGCGAGCCCUGCUCCACGCGCCCCAGCCAUGGCGCCCUUCUUCCCCAGCGCAGGGAGCUCGGCUCCCUUCCUCCCAGGGCGCUGGCCUCUCUCCCAUGGUCGGCCCUCUGCUCCGGCGCUCGGCAUCCCUGCAGCAGGCGCCCUUCUUCCUCCCUGGCUCCCACGGCAGCAAGCAGCCAGCAGGGAGCAAGGCCAGCCCCCAUGGCGCCCUUCCUCCUCGGCUCAAUGGUGUGGCCGAGCAGCAGCCUCUUCUCUCUGUUUCCUAUGCGUGCGCAGGGGCAGAAACUCCAUGGCCGCCGAGCUCCAUUCCCCCAAGGAGCAGCUCCCUCCAUGGCGCCAUUUCUCCCAGCCGACGCCCUCAUUCCUCCCUGCGCAGCGCCCCUUUUCUUCUACCUCUUGCCGGCGCCCAGAAAUUCCAGCAGCGAGCAGCGCACGUCCUGCUGUCCAUGGCGUGCAGCAAACGUGGAGCUCAGCUCCACCUCUCCCCAUGGCUGCGAGCUCCCUUCCCUAGCUGCUCGGCUCCCCCUCCCAUGGAAACCAGCAGCCUCAUCUCCUCUCCCCAACCGAUGCCCUUUUUUUUCCACCUCCGGCAGCAAGCUGCGAACUCCAUUUCUCCAUGGCCGCGAGCUUUUCCUUGCUGCGACUGUCUCCCAAGGACAGCGCGCAGCAGCCUCCCCGUGGCCAUGGUCUGCAACAAGAAGUCGCGCGCUACAUGUUCGAUGUUUUGCGCAGCAGCUCCGAUGUCUCCGCGCGGCUCGCUGUUUUGUGUUGCGCAGUGAGCAGCACGCCGUGAUGCCCGUCGGUGGUUUGCUGUUUUUGCGCAGCCCCGUCGUCGUCGUUGUUCACCCCCGGUGAGGCCACGUAAAUCCUUGUUCGAUUCCGCAUCGGUAUUAAUUUCCUAUGAUUAAUUGUGUGUGUGUGCUGUUUUGUUGUGUUUGGUGGAGGAGAGAAACCCCGUGUUUUGCGAGGAGAAGGCAAGCCGCUCAACGCUCGUCGAUGGCGAAGCUAUGCACAAAUCGGAAUCACCGUCGUUCUUGCAAACGCCGUUUGGGUUUGUUUAUGGUGAGCCGAUGCAGGACCGAGAGGUGACGACCGUGCAAGUGAUGUGGUGCCACCCACAAGAUGCAGUCGGUGGACGACCCAAGGAAGGAUGGACAUAACUAGUGGAUGCUCGCCAAGCGAGUGCCACCCAACAAACACUAUUUAAGUGUUAAAUUAAAGGUACUCCUUAGGAUGAUUGGUUGAUGGUGUGACUUGGCCUCCAUCCCUGCCACCGGGAUAGAUGGUCGAGUGGGUUACUGCUUCCGCAGGAGAGGACCAGGAGGAGUAGCGUGGCCAGGCUUCGCCAUGUUACUCGGUUUUCUCCGUUAGUUAUUUCCGCUGCAUUAAAAUUUAUGGUCAUUAUUUCUGAAACUCCGAUAAUGUAAUCACUAAUGAUACUUAUUAAAUUUGUGGUAUUAUGCUUU
rnacentral:misc_RNA from 1 species